UUCGGACUGCUUGGCUACUCGUCAGUGCAAGAUUUCAUUCCUGGAACUAGGCUGUAGCCGACAACAAACAACAUGUUUGUCAUCGCCCCAUCUACCUGUGAACGAGGUAACCAACCGCAUAUCCGAAAUUUGCCCAAUUCCCCGUAUAAGGAAAGAAAACUUUUCACGUAUAGUCAGUGGACAUACUUGAAGACUGGACAAUCGUUUUAGAGAAUAAUAGUGUCCAGUAUCGAUCUCUGAAGAAUUUCUAGUUCAGUAUCAAAAGGUGAAGACAGUAAAAAAUUUAAUUUUCA